AUUGAACGCUGGCGGCAUGCUUUACACAUGCAAGUCGAACGGUAACAGGCCUUCGGGUGCUGACGAGUGGCGAACGGGUGAGUAAUGCAUCGGAACGUACCCAGAGGUGGGGGAUAACGCAGCGAAAGCUGUGCUAAUACUGCAUGUGAUCUGAGGAUGAAAGCGGGGGACCGAGCAGCAAUGUUUGGCCUCGCGCCUUUGGAGCGGCCGAUGUCGGAUUAGCUAGUUGGUGGGGUAAAGGCCUACCAAGGCGACGAUCCGUAGCUGGUCUGAGAGGACGACCGGCCACACUGGAACUGGGACACGGCCCAGACUCCUACGGGAGGCAGCAGUGGGGAAUUUUGGACAAUGGGCGCAAGCCUGAUCCAGCAAUGCCGCGUGCGGGAAGAAGGCCUUCGGGUUGUAAACCGCUUUUGGCAGGAACGAAACGGUGUCCGCUAAUACCGGGCGCUAAUGACGGUACCUGCAGAAUAAGCACCGGCUAACUACGUG
rnacentral:rRNA from 1 species